rnacentral:rRNA from 1 species
GACGAACGCUGGCGGCGUGCUUAACACAUGCAAGUCGAACGGUAAGGCCCUUCGGGGUACACGAGUGGCGAACGGGUGAGUAACACGUGGGUGAUCUGCCCUGCACUUCGGGAUAAGCCUGGGAAACUGGGUCUAAUACCGGAUAGGACCACUGCCUGCAUGGGUGGUGGUGGAAAGCUUUUGCGGUGUGGGAUGGGCCCGCGGCCUAUCAGCUUGUUUGUGGGGUGAUGGCCUACAAAGGCGACGACGGGUAGCCGGCCUGAGAGGGUGACCGGCCACACUGGGACUGAGAUACGGCACAGACUCCUACGGGAGGCAGCAGUGGGGAAUAUUGCACAAUGGGCGCAAGCCUGAUGCAGCGACGCCGCGUGAGGGAUGACGGCCUUCGGGUUGUAAACCUCUUUCAGCACCGACGAAGCGCAAGUGACGGUAGGUGCAGAAGAAGGACCGGCCAACUACGUGCCAGCCGCCGCGGUAAAAC